rnacentral:rRNA from 1 species
GACGAACGCUGGCGGCGCGCCUAACACAUGCAAGUCGAACGAGCGAGAGAGAGCUUGCUUUCUCGAGCGAGUGGCGCACGGGUGAGUAACGCGUGAGGAACCUGCCUCUAAGAGGGGGACAACAGUUGGAAACGACUGCUAAUACCGCAUAAGCUCUCGGUGCCGCAUGGCACAGAGGGAAAAGGAGCAAUCCGCUUUGAGAUGUCCUCGCGUCCGAUUAGCUUGUUGGUGAGGUAAUGGCCCACCAUGGCGACGAUCGGUAGCCGGACAGAGAGGUUGAGCGGACACAUUGGGACUGGGACGCGGCCCAGACUCCUACGGGAGGCGGGAGUGGGGGAUAGUGCACAGUGGGGUAAACCCUGAUGCAGCGACGACGCGUGAAGGAAGAAGGUCUGCGGAAUGUAAACUCCUGUUGUUUAGGAAGAUAAUGACGGUACCCAAUAAGAAAGUGACGGCUAACUACGUA